rnacentral:pre_miRNA from 1 species
GAACUACUCCCUCCGUUCCGAAUUACUCGUCGCAGAAAUGAAUGUAUCUAGAUGUAUUUUAGUUCUAGAUACAUCCAUUUCUACGACGAGUAAUUUGGAAAGGAGGGAGUAUUUG